CUUCAUUGGCUCAUUCCACAACGGGCUGUGCUACCAGAGUCUCGCUCCACUGAUGGGCAGCAGCUAUCAUUGCAGAGUUCUCAAAGAGGAUGACUUCAGUGAAAACCAAAUGUAAUUGUGUGAAAUAACAAUGAAGACUGUGUCAGGAGGAUGGAGAGCCAAACAUUAGUGAUUGGAAGGGGCUGUCCUGCUAACAAAAGUUGAAAUAUUUGUGCACAUAUUCUGAAAAAUCAAAGUGUUCGGCUGCAUAACUGGAGGAGUUCCAUUCUACUUAUGUGCUCAGAGACACCCGAGGUACCUUUGUAAUCAGCAGACCAAUUGAUUUUUGUAAUAAAUUGUAUGCCAAUUCUGAUAUCUAUAUCUCCUGGAAUGUUUUCAAA